rnacentral:rRNA from 1 species
UACAGAGGGUGCGAGCGUUGUCCGGAAUCACUGGGCGUAAAGAGCUCGUAGGCGGUCUGUCGCGUCGGCUGUGAAAUCUCGGGGCUCAACCCCGAGCCUGCAGUCGAUACGGGGCAGACUAGAGUGCUGUAGGGGAGACUGGAAUUCCUGGUGUAGCGGUGAAAUGCGCAGAUAUCAGGAGGAACACCCGGUGGCGAAGGCGGGUCUCUGGGCAGUAACUGACGCUGAGGAGCGAAAGCGUGGGGAGCGAACAGG